rnacentral:tRNA from 1 species
GUGGGUAUAGGUCAGUGGCAGAGCACAUGGUUAGCAUGCAUGAGGUCCUGGGUUCAAUUCCUAGUACCUCCA